CGUGUCCAGGCCGGGCCUAGUCCCGGGCCUAGCGUUGUCCGGCCAAGCCUUGUCCCGGGCCGGGUCAGGAGCCGCCCUAGCUGUGGGAAAGGCCUGUCCCGGGCAGCGGGCACCGGCCUCGCCGGGGUGUGCAGGCCUGGAGGAGCUCUCCCCUCAGGGAGGGACUGGCUGAGGGACCUUUCCGCGUCGGGUUAGGCUGCUUCAGCACCUUUAUUUUUCACGUGUUCCGAGGGAGGUCGUGAGGUUUCAGGUAGAUACAAGGGUGUCAAUUCACAGGCUUGGCACCCCUGGCCCGAGAAUGAGCACUGUGCUGAUUAAAAUCAGAUGCCAAAGCACUUCCUGCCCCUCUUCCGGUGGUGACUGAAUGAUGGCAUUGCAGAAAUGAUGGAAAAUCCACAGCCAGGAGCUGUGCAACCCUCCCUGGCAAGAGCUGGGCUGUGGCUGAGGAGCAGCCCAUGGGAUUCACCACACAGCAGCCAAACCCACCCUGCCAACCCCAAAAUUAAACUGCAAUGCUUAAUUAUCCAGCUGAGGAUGCUCAGGGACAGCAGGUGACAACUGAAGGGGUGGC